rnacentral:rRNA from 1 species
GACGAACGCUGGCGGUGUGCCUAAUACAUGCAAGUCGGACGCAGUUGCGAACGUGAGAGUAACGCGUAGGAACCUACCUAUUAGAGGGGGAUAACUAUUGGAAACGAUAGCUAAUACCGCAUACUAGUCGAUGGACCUGCGUUGUAUUAGCUAGUAGGUAGGGUAAUGGCCUACCUAGGCAAAGAUCCGUAACUGGUCUGAGAGGAGGAUCAGUCACACGGGAACUGAGACACGGUCCAGACUCCUACGGGAGGCAGCAGUGGGGAAUAUUGGACAAUGGGCGAAAGCCGGAUCCAGCCAUGCCGCGUGUGUGAAGAAGGUCUUCGGAUUGUAAAGCACUUUAAGUUGGGAGGCGUUACCAACAGAAUAAGCACCGGCUAACUACGUGCCAGCAGCCGCGGUAAUAC